rnacentral:rRNA from 1 species
AAUGGCUGCAGUAAUAUAACUGUACAAAGGUAGCAUAAUCAUUAGUUUUUUAAUUAAAAGCUUGUAUGAAAGGUUGGACGAAGUAAAAUCUGUCUCUUUUUAAUAUAAUUAGAAUUUAAUUUUUAAGUAAAAAAGCUUAAAUUUUUAUAAAAGACGAGAAGACCCUAUAGAGUUUAAUAAUUAAUUUAAAUUAAUUAAUUUAGAUUUAUUAAUUUUAUUUUUAAAAAAUUAUUUUAUUGGGGUAAUAGAAAGAUUUAUAUAAUUCUUUUUUUAUUUUUACAUUUAUUUAUGAUUAAAAUGAUCCAUUUUUUAUGAUUAAAAGAUUAAAUUACCUUAGGGAUAACAGCGUAAUUUUUUUUAAGAGUUCAUAUCGAUAAAAAAGUUUGCGACCUCGAUGUUGGAUUAAAGAUUAAUUUAGGUGUAGAAGUUUAAAUUUUUGGUCUGUUCGACCAUUAAAUCUUUACAUGAUCUGAGUUCAAACCGGUGUAAGCCAGGUUGGUUUCUAUCUUUAUAAAAUUUUUAUAUUUUAGUACGAAAGGACCAAAUAUUUAAUAUAUUAAUAUUUAUUAUUUUGAAUAUUAUUAAAUUUAUUAUUUUGGCAGAUUAGUGUAAUGAAUUUAGAAUUCAUAAAAGUAAUAUUUUUACAAAUAAUACUUGUUUUUAAUGGAUAUUAUAAUUUCUUUAAUUUUAAUGAUUUUAUUAAUUAUUUGUGUUUUAGUUGGAGUUGC